AGGACGAACGCUGGCGGCGUGCUUAACACAUGCAAGUCGAGCGGUAAGGCCUUUCGGGGUACACGAGCGGCGAACGGGUGAGUAACACGUGGGUGAUCUGCCCUGCACUUCGGGAUAAGCCUGGGAAACUGGGUCUAAUACCGGAUAUGACCUCAGGUUGCAUGACUUGGGGUGAAAGAUUUAUCGGUGCAGGAUGGGCCCGCGGCCUAUCAGCUUGUUGGUGGGGUAAUGGCCUACCAAGGCGACGACGGGUAGCCGACCUGAGAGGGUGACCGGCCACAUUGGGACUGAGACACGGCCCAGACUCCUACGGGAGGCAGCAGUGGGAAUAUGCACAAUGGGCGAAAGCCUGAGUGCAGCGACGCCGCGUGAGGAUGGACGGCCGUUCGGGUUGUAACCGUCUUUCAGCAGGGACGAAGGACGCGAAGGUGACGGUACCGUGACGAGAAGAAGACACCGGCGUAACACGU
rnacentral:rRNA from 1 species